rnacentral:rRNA from 1 species
UACGGGGGGGGCAAGCGUUGUUCGGAAUUACUGGGCGUAAAGGGCGCGUAGGCGGUUUGCUAAGUCGAAUGUGAAAACUCCGGGCUUAACCCGGAGCCUGCAUUCGAUACUGGCAGGCUAGAGUUCUGGAGGGGAUAGCGGAAUUCCUGGUGUAGCGGUGAAAUGCGUAGAUAUCAGGAGGAACACCGGUGGCGAAGGCGGCUAUCUGGACAGAGUCUGACGCUGAGGCGCGAAAGCUAGGGGAGCAAACAGG